rnacentral:rRNA from 1 species
CUCCAAGGCUAAAUACUCCUGACUGACCGAUAGUGAACCAGUACCGUGAGGGAAAGGCGAAAAGAACCCCGGCGAGGGGAGUGAAAAAGAACCUGAAACCGUGUACGUACAAGCAGUGGGAGCACAGGUUUACCUGUGUGACUGCGUACCUUUUGUAUAAUGGGUCAGCGACUUAUAUUCUGUAGCAAGGUUAACCGAAUAGGGGAGCCGCAGGGAAACCGAGUCUUAAUUGGGCGUUAAGUUGCAGGGUAUAGACCCGAAACCCGGUGAUCUAGCCAUGGGCAGGUUGAAGGUUGGGUAACACUAACUGGAGGACCGAACCGACUAAUGUUGAAAAAUUAGCGGAUGACCUGUGGCUGGGGGUGAAAGGCCAAUCAAACCGGGAGAUAGCUGGUUCUCCCCGAAAGCUAUUUAGGUAGCGCCUCGUGAAUUCAUCUCCGGGGGUAGAGCACUGUUUCGGCUAGGGGGCCAUCCCGGCUUACCAACCCGAUGCAAACUGCGAAUACCGGAGAAUGUUAUCACGGGAGACACACGGCGGGUGCUAACGUCCGUCGUGAAGAGGGAAACAACCCAGACCGCCAGCUAAGGUCCCAAAGUCAUGGUUAAGUGGGAAACGAUGUGGGAAGGCCCAGACAGCCAGGAUGUUGGCUUAGAAGCAGCCAUCAUUUAAAGAAAGCGUAAUAGCUCACUGGUCGAGUCGGCCUGCGCGGAAGAUGUAACGGGGCUAAACCAUGCACCGAAGCUGCGGCAGCGAACGUAUCACUUAAAGCGAUUCAGCGGGUUACGAUUGACGGAGCGAAGCGACGUCAAAGCGUAUACAAAGUCGAGUCGGUUUAAGGAUACGUUCGUUGGGUAGGGGAGCGUUCUGUAAGCCUGUGAAGGUGUGUCGUGAGGCAUGCUGGAGGUAUCAGAAGUGCGAAUGCUGACAUAAGUAACGAUAAAGCGGGUGAAAAGCCCGCUCGCCGGAAGACCAAGGGUUCCUGUCCAACGUUAAUCGGGGCAGGGUGAGUCGACCCCUAAGGCGAGGCCGAAAGGCGUAGUCGAUGGGAAACGGGUUAAUAUUCCCGUACUUGGUGUUACUGCGAAGGGGGGACGGAGAAGGCUAUGUUGGCCGGGCGACGGUUGUCCCGGUUUAAGCGUGUAGGUGUGUGUUCCAGGUAAAUCCGGUUCACUUUAACACUGAGGCGUGACGACGAGGCACUACGGUGCUGAAGCAACAAAUGCCCUGCUUCCAGGAAAAGCCUCUAAGCAUCAGGUAACAUCAAAUCGUACCCCAAACCGACACAGGUGGUCAGGUAGAGAAUACCAAGGCGCUUGAGAGAACUCGGGUGAAGGAACUAGGCAAAAUGGUGCCGUAACUUCGGGAGAAGGCACGCUGACACGUAGGUGAAGUGAUUUACUCACGGAGCUGAAGUCAGUCGAAGAUACCAGCUGGCUGCAACUGUUUAUUAAAAACACAGCACUGUGCAAACACGAAAGUGGACGUAUACGGUGUGACGCCUGCCCG